UGGGGAAUAUUGCGCAAUGGGCGAAAGCCUGACGCAGCGACGCCGCGUGAGGGAUGAAGGUUUUCGGAUCGUAAACCUCUGUCAGAAGGGAAGAAACCGCACUGUGCUAAUCAGCAGUGCCUUGACGGUACCUUCAAAGGAAGCACCGGCUAACUCCGUGCCAGCAGCCGCGGUAAUACGGAGGGUGCAAGCGUUAAUCGGAAUUACUGGGCGUAAAGCGCACGUAGGCUGCUUUGUAAGUCAGGGGUGAAAUCCCACGGCUCAACCGUGGAUCUGCCUUUGAUACUGCUUAGCUUGAAUCCGGGAGAGGGUGGCGGAAUUCCAGGUGUAGGAGUGAAAUCCGUAGAUAUCUGGAGGAACAUCAGUGGCGAAGGCGGCCACCUGGACCGGUAUUGACGCUGAGGUGCGAAAGCGUGGGGAGCAAACAGG
rnacentral:rRNA from 1 species